GAUGAACGCUGGCGGCGUGCCUAAUACAUGCAAGUCGAGCGAACGGACGAGAAGCUUGCUUCUCUGAUGUUAGCGGCGGACGGGUGAGUAACACGUGGAUAACCUACCUAUAAGACUGGGAUAACUUCGGGAAACCGGAGCUAAUACCGGAUAAUAUUUUGAAACGCAUGGGUCAAAAGUGAAAGACGGUCUUGGUGUCACUUAUAGAUGGAUCCGCGCUGCAUUAGCUAGUUGGUAAGGUAACGGCUUACCAAGGCAACGAUGCAUAGCCGACCUGAGAGGGUGAUCGGCCACACUGGAACUGAGACACGGUCCAGACUCCUACGGGAGGCAGCAGUAGGGAAUCUUCCGCAAUGGGCGAAAGCCUGACGGAGCAACGCCGCGUGAGUGAUGAAGGUCUUCGGAUCGUAAAACUCUGUUAUUAGGGAAGAACAUAUGUGUAAGUAACUGUGCACAUCUUGACGGUACCUAAUCAGAAAGCCACGGCUAACUACGUG
rnacentral:rRNA from 1 species